AAUUACCCAAUCCUGACACAGGGAGGUAGUGACAAGAAAUAACAAUACAGGGCUUAAAGUCUUGUAAUUGGAAUGAUGGGAAUCUAAACCCUUCCCAGAGUAUCAAUUGGAGGGCAAGUCUGGUGCCAGCAGCCGCGGUAAUUCCAGCUCCAAUAGCGUAUAUUAAAGUUGUUGCAGUUAAGAAGCUCGUAGUUGAAUUUCUGCCUUGUCGUUAAAUUCGCUUCCGAGCGUUUUUUUAUUGACUUGGCAUCUUCUGGAUUUGGUUCCCUUCGGGGUUCUAUUUUCCGGGAUUUACUUUGAGAAAACUAGAGUGUUUCAAACAGGCAUUUGCCUUGAAUACUACAGCAUGGAAUAAUGAAGUAGGACUUUGGUUCUAUUUUGUUGGUUAUUGAGCCAGAGUAAUGGUUAAUAGGAGCAGUUGGGGGCAUUCGUAUUUAA
rnacentral:rRNA from 1 species